rnacentral:rRNA from 1 species
AUUGAACGCUGGCGGCAUGCCUUACACAUGCAAGUCGAACGGUAACAGGUCUUCGGAUGCUGACGAGUGGCGAACGGGUGAGUAAUACAUCGGAACGUGCCCGAUCGUGGGGGAUAACGAAGCGAAAGCUUUGCUAAUACCGCAUACGAUCUACGGAUGAAAGCAGGGGACCGCAAGGCCUUGCGCGAACGGAGCGGCCGAUGGCAGAUUAGGUAGUUGGUGGGAUAAAAGCUUACCAAGCCGACGAUCUGUAGCUGGUCUGAGAGGACGACCAGCCACACUGGAACUGAGACACGGCCCAGACUCCUACGGGAGGCAGCAGUGGGGAAUUUUGGACAAUGGGCGAAAGCCUGAUCCAGCCAUGCCGCGUGCAGGAUGAAGGCCUUCGGGUUGUAAACUGCUUUUGUACGGAACGAAAAGACUCUGGUUAAUACCUGGGGUCCAUGACGGUACCGUAAGAAUAAGCACCGGCUAACUACGUG